GUGGGUUUAGCUCAGUGGCAUAAGCACCUGUCUUGCAAGCAGGCGGUCAUGAGUUCGAUCCCCAGUACUGAUA
rnacentral:tRNA from 1 species